rnacentral:rRNA from 1 species
CCUACGGGGGGCUGCAGUGGGGAAUAUUGGGCAAUGGGCGCAAGCCUGACCCAGCAACGCCGCGUGAAGGAAGAAGGCUUUCGGGUUGUAAACUUCUUUUAUGGGGGACGAAAGAAAUGACGGUACCACAUGAGUAAGCCACGGCUAACUCCGUGCCAGCAGCCGCGGUAAUCCGUGGGUGGCAAGCGUUAACCGGAUGUACUGGGUGUAAAGGGCGGGGAGGCGGGACUGCAAGUCAGAUGUGAAAAUUAUGGGCUCAACCCAUAACCUGCAUUUGAAACUGUAGUUCUUGAGUGAUGGAGAGGCAGGCAGAAUUCCGGGUGUAGCGGUGAAAUGCGUAGAGAUACGGAGGAACACCAGUGGCGAAGGCGGCCUGCUGGACAUUAACUGACGCUGAGGCGCGAAAGCGUGGGGAGCAAACAGGAUUAGAUACCCCAGUAGUC